rnacentral:rRNA from 1 species
GAGUUUGAUCCUGGCUCAGGACGAACGCUGGCGGCGUGCCUAAUACAUGCAAGUAGAACGCUGAAGACUUUAGCUUGCUAAAGUUGGAAGAGUUGCGAACGGGUGAGUAACGCGUAGGUAACCUGCCUACUAGCGGGGGAUAACUAUUGGAAACGAUAGCUAAUACCGCAUAACAGCAUUUAACCCAUGUUAGAUGCUUGAAAGGAGCAAUUGCUUCACUAGUAGAUGGACCUGCGUUGUAUUAGCUAGUUGGUGAGGUAACGGCUCACCAAGGCGACGAUACAUAGCCGACCUGAGAGGAUGAUCGGCCACACUGGGACUGAGACACGGCCCAGACUCCUACGGGAGGCAGCAGUAGGGAAUCUUCGGCAAUGGGGGCAACCCAGACCGAGCAACGCCGCGUGAGUGAAGAAGGUUUUCGGAUCGUAAAGCUCUGUUGUAAGAGAAGAACGUGUGUGAGAGUGGAAAGUUCACACAGUGACGGUAACUUACCAGAAAGGGACGGCUAACUACGUGCCAGCAGCCGCGGUAAUACGUAGGUCCCGAGCGUUGUCCGGAUUUAUUGGGCGUAAAGCGAGCGCAGGCGGUUUAAUAAGUCUGAAGUUAAAGGCAGUGGCUUAACCAUUGUUCGCUUUGGAAACUGUUAGACUUGAGUGCAGAAGGGGAGAGUGGAAUUCCAUGUGUAGCGGUGAAAUGCGUAGA